CUCCGGUGCUAACCUUGCCGG
rnacentral:siRNA from 1 species